GUGCGGCCCUAAAAAAACAAUAGACUAAAUAAAUAGAUAAAUAAACAAGCAAAGUGCAAGAAGAGAUAAGUCAGAGAAAGUCAUGUUCUCCCAAAGUCCGGGGAGAACGGAGUUUGCAUAGAGUGUGUUUUCUGCUCCACAGAUGUUUGAAAAAAGUGCUUGGUGUUUAUACACCUGUCAUUAAAACUGUCACUAUUUGGGGACCAAUUUACUUUUGAAUAUUAUUGCUAUGGCGAUCUUCGCAACUAUUAAAGAAGCAAAGGAGAAAAAUUUCAUAGGACGUGGACCGAGAUUUUCAAGGAACAUAAUUUCAGUUUUUAUACCAUUUUCCAAUCAUAUCCAAGUUCCAGCUCAGCCUGAGCCUCAGCGCACCCUGACGUGCCCGCUGGUCCAGAAUCUAAUCAGGAGACAGAACCAACGCAGGUUACUUCCGCAGGGAGAGGAGUCAGAUGCUGGAGAAAUGAAAAGGUUUGAAGGCGCAUGCAGGUGUCCAGGAGGCAGUAACUGCAGAAACCAGGUGCCACCCUAGGGCUGGGGCGACCAAGGGAAGAGCUUGUCAGUAAGAAAACGGAACCCCGAAGGAGCUGUCCCCGGACUCAGACUCCGAUCUCAGCCUUUGUGAGGUGGUUGAUGCCUUUGACGGGGUGCUGACCCUAGAAAAGCUGCAAAGGGGGUUCAGCAGCUACUGAUGCGGUAAACUGCCCUCACUGGAAGAUGCGUGGCCGGGGCUCCGCUGAGGGACCAGGAAGCAGAAGCCAAGGAGAAGCCCUUCAGCCUUCAAGCCUCCCUCCAGUGUCUCCUCCUGGCCGGCAGAUUUGAGCCCACAGCCAGGUGCCAAGGGAGAAAGUACUUUUCCUGUGUUGGCUCAGCCCGAGCACCACUGGGCAGAGUCUGGAAGGGGGGGGUUGAGGCCAAGAAGUAGGAGCUUAAUCAUAUCUGGAGUGAAAGGUAAGUGACAUGCCCCCUCCCCUCCGCCGCCAGCCCCGCUCCCCUUCUUUUUUAGCCCAACGUUCUGGCUCCAAAGAAGCUUUGAGCUGGUUUCCAAUAAAAGCACAUACUAACCAGGGCA
rnacentral:lncRNA from 1 species